rnacentral:tRNA from 1 species
GAAAUAUUUUAAAAUUUAAACUUCUAAUUUAAAUUCAAGUGAAUCUUUCAUUUAUAUUUCU